GGAGACAAGGGGCGGUCCCCGCGCUCCCGGGCGUCGCCGUUUCCAAGCGCGGCGUUUUCGCCUAGUAACCCGCCGCCUCGGUUUCCGAAAGCGGCGCUGUGGCCCCGCCCCCGGAGCCCGGCUGGGGGAAGAACCUGUCUCCCGGGGCGCCCGAGUGACGAAGCCCAUCCCCGCGUGCGGGAGGCGGGGAGGCGAGAGGAGGGCAGACAGAAGAUUUCGCUCGCCGGUGAGGCAUCCGGGACGCGCCCGCGGCGCCCGCUGGCAGCAGAGACUGUCAGUUUCGGAUCCAAGGACGGCGAUGGCAAAGCUUAGCCGGGUUGCCGGUCAAAUAAACGCUGUCACAGAAUAAA